GCCUUAGUAGCGGCGAGUGAAGCGGCAAAAGCUCAAAUUUGAAAUCUGGCUCUUUCAGAGUCCGAGUUGUAAUUUGAAGAAGGUAUCUUUGGGUCUGGCUCUUGUCUAUGUUUCUUGGAACAGAACGUCACAGAGGGUGAGAAUCCCGUGCGAUGAGAUGAUCCAGGCCUAUGUAAAGUUCCUUCGAAGAGUCGAGUUGUUUGGGAAUGCAGCUCUAAGUGGGUGGUAAAUUCCAUCUAAAGCUAAAUAUUGGCGAGAGACCGAUAGCGAACAAGUACAGUGAUGGAAAGAUGAAAAGAACUUUGAAAAGAGAGUGAAAAAGUACGUGAAAUUGUUGAAAGGGAAGGGCUUGAGAUCAGACUUGGUAUUUUGUAUGUUACUUCUUCGGGGGUGGCCUCUACAGUUUAUCGGGCCAGCAUCAGUUUGGGCGGUAGGAGAAUUGCGUUGGAAUGUGGCACGGCCUCGGUUGUGUGUUAUAGCCUUCGUCGAUACUGCCAGCCUAGACUGAGGACUGCGGUUUAUACCUAGGAUGUUGGCAUAAUGAUCUUAAGUCGCCCGUCUGAAA
rnacentral:rRNA from 1 species